GAUGAACGCUGACAGAAUGCUUAACACAUGCAAGUCUUUGGCGAAGCUGUGCUUGCACAGCCUAGCCAAGGCGGACGGGUGAGUAACGCGUAAGGAACUUGCCCUGCAGUCAGGGAUAACAGACGGAAACGACUGAUAAGACCUGGUAAAGUCAGGCGGACUCAUGUCCAGCCUGAUGAAAAGAGAUGCUGCAGGAGAGCCUUGCGUCCUAUUAGCUUGUUGGUGGGGUAACGGCCCACCAAGGCGAUGAUAGGUUGCCGGCCUGAGAGGGUGGACGGCCACAAGGGGACUGAGAUACGGCACUUACUCCUGCGGGAGGCAGCAGUGGGGAAUAUUGGACAAGGGGGGCAACCCUGGUCCAGCAAUUCUGUGUGGACGAUGAAGGUUUGCGGAUUGUAAAGUGCUUGCAGCAGGGAAGAAAAAAAUGACGGUACCUGCAGAAGAAGCGACGGCUAAAUACGUG
rnacentral:rRNA from 1 species